GAUGAACGCUAGCGGCAGGCCUAAUACAUGCAAGCCGAACGGCAAGUUUGAUAGCAUUAUUUUACCUAGAGUGUCGCAAGGGUGCGUAACACGUAUACAACCUGCCCGCGACAGGAGGAUAGCUCUCCGAAAGGGGAAUUAACCUACCAUAACACCAUGAGUAUGCCUUUGUAUAUGGUUAAACCGCACGGGGUCACGGCUGGGCAUGCGGUUGAGUAGCUAGUUGGCGGGUUAAAGGCUCACCACGGCGGUGAUCAAUAGGGGUUCUGCGAGGGAGGUCCCCCACACUGGCACUGGGAUACGGGCCAGACGCCGACGGGAGGAAGCAGUAGGGAAUAAUGGACAGUGGUUGCAAGAAUGAUCCAGGCAUGCCGCGUGCAGGAAGAAGGCCUUCUGAGUCGUAAACUGCGUUUACCUGUGGAUAAAAUACCCGUGCGCGGGGAAUUGAAGGUAACAGAGGAAUAAGCCACGGCUAACUACGUG
rnacentral:rRNA from 1 species